AUACGUAGGGUGCGAGCGUCGUCCGGAAUUACUGGGCGUAAAGAGCUCGUAGGUGGUUUGUCGCGUCGUCUGUGGAAUUCCGGGGCUUAACUCCGGGCGUGCAGGCGAUACGGGCAUAACUUGAGUACUGUAGGGGAGACUGGAAUUCCUGGUGUAGCGGUGAAAUGCGCAGAUAUCAGGAGGAACACCGGUGGCGAGGGCGGGUCUCUGGGCAGUAACUGACGCUGAGGAGCGAAAGCAUGGGUAGCGAACAGGAUUAGAUACCCUGGUAGUCCAUGCCGUAAACGGUGGGCGCUAGGUGUAGGGGUCUUCCACGACUUCUGUGCCGUAGCUAACGCAUUAAGCGCCCCGCCUGGGGAGUACGGCCGCAAGGCUAAAACUCAAAGGAAUUGACGGGG
rnacentral:rRNA from 1 species